rnacentral:piRNA from 1 species
AUGAUAUUGAUGUUGUAGGCCAGGAU